AUUGAACGCUGGCGGCAUGCCUUACACAUGCAAGUCGAACGGCAGCACGGGUGCUUGCACCUGGUGGCGAGUGGCGAACGGGUGAGUAAUACAUCGGCACAUGUCCUGUAGUGGGGGAUAGCCCGGCGAAAGCCGGAUUAAUACCGCAUACGAUCUACGGAUGAAAGCGGGGGACCUUCCGGCCUCGCGCUAUAGGGUUGGCCGAUGGCUGAUUAGCUAGUUGGUGGGGUAAAGGCCUACCAAGGCGACGAUCAGUAGCUGGUCUGAGAGGACGACCAGCCACACUGGGACUGAGACACGGCCCAGACUCCUACGGGAGGCAGCAGUGGGGAAUUUUGGACAAUGGGCGAAAGCCUGAUCCAGCAAUGCCGCGUGUGUGAAGAAGGCCUUCGGGUUGUAAAGCACUUUUGUCCGGAAAGAAAUCCUUGGCCCUAAUACGGUCGGGGGAUGACGGUACCGGAAGAAUAAGCACCGGCUAACUACGUG
rnacentral:rRNA from 1 species